CGGGUUUGAUUCUGACCUGCGGCACUUUGCUGCAUGUCAUUCCCCCCUCUCUCUCCCCUUCAUGUCUUCUGCUUUAAAUGCCUAAAAU